AGUGAUUUGAGAGUUGAAUAUUUGGAUGUUAGACUCAACUUAAAAUUAGACUGAACUGAGAUCAGAGUCAAGUUCCAAAUGGGGCCUUAGUAGAGCUGGGCUGAGUUGGGUUAUACCUAAGAGUGUAGUAGAUCUACUAGUAUGUUGGAAUAGGCAUCAUAAUAGCUCUCAACUGGUAGCGGCGUAGAGGAUGAUACCUUUGUGCUUAAUGUGGUGUUUAUGGAUGGAAAGGAAUGACAGGUGCUUUAAUACCAAGGAGCGAGUAGUGGGGGAAAUCUGGAAUUUCUGUGUCUUCUCUUUUUUAGUGGUUUUCUGCUAUUGUACUAAAGGGAGGGAUGUUCAUGAGUUUUUAUUUUCUUUUCAGCUUUCUAGAAUGUAAUUAGGUGUCUCAUUUUGUGUACUUCCUGUAUACAUGGGCUUCGCCAAGUUUCAUUCGAUUCAAUAAAGAUUCUUUCUUAUAAAAAAAAAUUAAAAAAAUAAAAUAAAAAUACAUCAUACUAUGUAUGUAGAUUCACUAUAUAUAGGGAAUAUGUAAUAGACUCCUCACCCAUGGAACCUAAACCCCCGGGGAGAUUAGCACAACAACCCACCGUCAUGGCCUCCCACUUAAAUCAUAGUUUGAUCCCAGGGGGAAUCGAACCUGUGACAUGGGACUCAUGCACACAAGUUCGCCCUUACCACUUGGGCUACCCAUAGGUGGGUUACAUUGAUUAGAUUUGGGUAAUAGCUAAGUAGCCAUACAGUCUUGAAGCCAUUUAAUUGUAUUUGUAAAUAAUUGUGAUUAAGAAUAAAAUCAUAUCUAAUUGUAUGUUGUGAGUGAAAAAAUUAUGUUAUCUUAUUUUAUUUUAUAAUUUUAUUUUUUAAAUUCAAAAUUUUUUUAAAAGUGAGAAACGAGCUGAGUUGAGUGCUUGAUUGAGCGCUGGGCUUGAUUUUUAGUCGAGUUUGGACAUGAGAAUGCCUUAUUUGAGUCGAGUUUAAACAUCCAAAAAAGGUCGAGUCAAGAUUGAGUCGAGCUCGAGCCUUAUUUUUUAAUAAUUGAGCUGAAUUUGAUUGGGCACUACUCGCUCGAACUCGGCUAAAUCAAGUCAAGCUCAAGCCUGAUUUUUUAAUGACAAGCCAAGUUUGACCAUGAACUACUCGCUCACUCGGCUACCCUGAUACAACACUUAUCAUUCUUAAUUUGGAUAAUCAUUUUGAAAUAAAUCACCAUGUAGAAAGGCAUUUUGAACAUCUAUUUAAAAUAGUGGCCAAUCAACAUUAGUUGCAAGGGAUAUGAAUACCCAAACAGAAGAGAUUUUGGCAACAGGCGAGGUCUCCUCAUAAUCACACCAUAGGUUUGUGUGUGACCCUUGACAACCAAACUUGCCUUUAAAUGUUCCACAAAACCAUUAGGAUUGAACUUCACAGUGUACACACAUUUACAUCCAACAUUCUGUUUACCAGGAAGUAGUGGAACAAGAUCCCAUGUCCCAUUAUGGUGAAGGGUGUCUAUUUCAGCUUCCAUUGCUUGUCUCCAACUUGGAUGAGAUAAUGCAUCCUUAACUGUUUUGGCAACAAAGAGUUUUGCAAGCUAAGAAACAAAACAAGAGAAUCCAGGAGAUAAAGCCUGGCAUGAAACAAACUGACUAAAAGGGUAGCAAUUUGAAGCACUAGGUACAUAUAAAUCUGGAGAUGAAAAUGAAAUUGGUGGAGGCACGAGAGGUGGUCUAGAGCAGCGAGAAUACGGGCAUGUUUGGCAAACCACAAAAUUUCCAAAAUUUUUCGUAACUUCAUUCCCAAAAAUCAGUCAAACACAAAAAACUUUUCUAUUUCAAAUUUUAAACUUUUUAUCUAAUUACCUAAUAAUUAUACAAAAAUCAAUACAACUUUUACGAACUUCAAAACGAAAAUAAUAUUAAAAAAUUAUAUUCAAACAAUUUUUAACUUUAUCUAUCCACUUUCACAAACUCCAAUACAAUACUUAUUCUAAAAAAGAUUUUUUAUUCAAAUUUUUCUCUCAUUUCCCAAAACCUAAUCUCAAACAAAUUCUCAAAAUUCUCAAAUGUUUCCAAACAUUCUUGGUAUCCAAGCAUGCCCGUCAAGGGAAUUGCAGAAGGUGCUAGUUGACAAGUUUGAUGGAGUAGGUACGGGUGUUGAUAGAGUGGUAAGGGUAGGUAAAGGAAGAGAUGAGAAGGACAAGACAAGUUCACACUCACCAAAAUAUGUGACAGAAAAUUAGGGUAUAUACUCAAAGAAGGUGACAUCAAGUUGCUUCGAAGAACAAGACCAUAACAACAAUAUCCCUUUUGAGUUCAGGAGUAACCAAGAAACACAUUCUGUAGCACGUGAAUCAAUUUUAUCAAACCCAGGGCCAAGGUUGUGAACAUAACAAAUACACCCAAAGAUCUGUGGUGUAAUAGAAAAGAAGAGUUUUGUUAGGAAACAAAAUAAAGUGAGGAGAAACACUAUCUAGAACUGAGGAAGGCAUGAAGUUUACAAGGUGACAAGCGAUA